rnacentral:antisense_RNA from 1 species
GCUUAUGGCGGGGUGCAAUGGGAGACCUUCGGGUCUGCCGGGUUUCCUUUGGUCUCCGGUUCGCCAACCUGUUGCAUUCCGCCGCCCUU